rnacentral:rRNA from 1 species
AGGGUUUGAUCAUGGCUCAGAAUGAACGCUGGCGGCACGCUUAACACAUGCAAGUCGAACGAGAUCUUCGGAUCUAGUGGCAGACGGGUGAGUAACGCGUGGGAACCUGCCCAGUAGUAGAGGACAACUUGGGGAAACUUAAGCUAAUACUUUAUACGUCCUUCGGGAGAAAGCUUUAUGCGCUAUUGGAUGGGCCCGCGUUAGAUUAGUUUGUUGGUGAGGUAAUGGCUCACCAAGACUACGAUCUAUAGCUGGUCUGAGAGGAUGAUCAGCCACACUGGGACUGAGACACGGCCCAGACUCCUACGGGAGGCAGCAGUGGGGAAUAUUGGACAAUGGGGGCAACCCUGAUCCAGCGAUGCCGCGUGAGUGAUGAAGGCCCUAGGGUUGUAAAACUCUUUCGUCAGGGAAGAUAAUGACGGUACCUGAAGAAGAAGAUCCGGCUAACUCCGUGCCAGCCGCCGCGAUAAUAC